rnacentral:rRNA from 1 species
AGUGAACGCUGGCGGUAGGCCUAACACAUGCGAGUCGAACGGCAGCACAGUAAGAGCUUGCUCUUACGGGUGGCGAGUGGCGGACGGGUGAGGAAUACAUCGGAAUCUACUUUUUCGUGGGGGAUAACGUAGGGAAACUUACGCUAAUACCGCAUACGACCUACGGGGGAAAGCAGGGGAUCUUCGGACCUUGCGCGAUUGAAUGAGCCGAUGUCGGAGUAGCUAGUUGGCGGGGUAAAGGCCCACCAAGGCGACGAUCCGUAGCUGGUCUGAGAGGAUGAUCAGCCACACUGGAACUGAGACACGGUCCAGACUCCUACGGGAGGCAGCAGUGGGGAAUAUUGGACAAUGGGCGCAAGCCUGAUCCAGCCAUACCGCGUGGGUGAAGAAGGCCUUCGGGUUGGAAAGCCCUUUUGUUGGGAAAGAAAAGCAGCAGGUUAAUACCCCGCUGUUCUGACGGUACCCAAAGAAUAAGCACCGGCUAACUUCGUG